GACGAACGCUGGCGGCGUGCUUAACACAUGCAAGUCGAACGAAGUGGCGAACGGGUGAGUAAUACGUGGGUAACCUGCCCUCCUUUUUGGGAUAAGCCUUGGAAACGGGGUCUAAUACCGAAUAAAGGGGGAUGGGCUCGCGGCCUAUCAGCUUGUUGGUGGGGUGAUGGCCUACCAAGGCGGGGACGGGUAGCCGGCCUGAGAGGGUGACCGGGCACAUUGGGACUGAGAUACGGCCAAGACUCGUACGGGAGGCAGCAGUGGGGGAUAUUGCCGAAUGGACGAAAGUCUGACGGAGCAACGCCGCGUGAGUUAUGACGGCCGUCGGGUUGUAAAGCUCUGUUAAUCAGGACGCGGUACCGGAAUAGAAAGCCACGGCUAACUACGUGCCAGCAGCCGCGGUAAUUC
rnacentral:rRNA from 1 species